rnacentral:rRNA from 1 species
CAUGCCUUACACAUGCAAGUCGAACGGCAGCAUGAUCUAGCUUGCUAGAUUGAUGGCGAGUGGCGAACGGGUGAGUAAUACAUCGGAACGUGCCCUGUAGUGGGGGAUAACUAGUCGAAAGAUUAGCUAAUACCGCAUACGACCUGAGGGUGAAAGUGGGGGACCGCAAGGCCUCAUGCUAUAGGAGCGGCCGAUGUCUGAUUAGCUAGUUGGUGAGGUAAAGGCUCACCAAGGCGACGAUCAGUAGCUGGUCUGAGAGGACGAUCAGCCACACUGGGACUGAGACACGGCCCAGACUCCUACGGGAGGCAGCAGUGGGGAAUUUUGGACAAUGGGCGAAAGCCUGAUCCAGCAAUGCCGCGUGUGUGAAGAAGGCCUUCGGGUUGUAAAGCACUUUUGUCCGGAAAGAAAUGGCUCUGGUUAAUACCUGGGGUCGAUGACGGUACCGGAAGAAUAAGGACCGGCUAACUACGUGCCAGCAGCCGCGGUAAUACGUAGGGUCCAAGCGUUAAUCGGAAUUACUGGGCGUAAAGCGUGCGCAGGCGGUUGUGCAAGACCGAUGUGAAAUCCCCGAGCUUAACUUGGGAAUUGCAUUGGUGACUGCACGGCUAGAGUGUGUCAGAGGGGGGUAGAAUUCCACGUGUAGCAGUGAAAUGCGUAGAGAUGUGGAGGAAUACCGAUGGCGAAGGCAGCCCCCUGGGAUAACACUGACGCUCAUGCACGAAAGCGUGGGGAGCAAACAGGAUUAGAUACCCUGGUAGUCCACGCCCUAAACGAUGUCAACUAGUUGUUGGGGAUUCAUUUCCUUAGUAACGUAGCUAACGCGUGAAGUUGACCGCCUGGGGAGUACGGUCGCAAGAUUAAAACUCAAAGGAAUUGACGGGGACCCGCACAAGCGGUGGAUGAUGUGGGAUUAAUUCGAUGCAACGCGAAAAACCUUACCUACCCUUGACAUGCCACUAACGAAGCAGAGAUGCAUUAGGUGCUCG